rnacentral:rRNA from 1 species
UACAGAGGGGGCAAGCGUUAUUCGGAAUUAUUGGGCGUAAAGCGCGCGCAGGUGGUUCCUUAAGUCUGAUGUGAAAGCCCACGGCUCAACCGUGGAGGAUCAUUGGAAACUGGGGAACUUGAGUGCAGAAGAGGAAAGUGGAAUUCCAAGUGUAGCGGUGAAAUGCGUAGAGAUUUGGAGGAACACCAGUGGCGAAGGCGACUUUCUGGUCUGUAACUGACACUGAGGCGCGAAAGCGUGGGGAGCAAACAGG